UUAUUAGGUCUUUCCACCUUUCUGUGGAAAGACCUAUUGAAUUUGUUCUGAUUAUUAUUAGGUCUUUCCACCUUUCCGUGGAAAGACCUAUUGAAUUUGUUCUGAUUAUUAGGUCUUUCCACCUUUCCGUGGAAAGACCUAUUGAAUUUGUUCUGAUUAUUAUUAUUAUUAUUUUUUUUUUUUUUUUCUUCCGCCUAAUUUUUUUUCUUGUGUAUUAUUGAUGUUUCAAAAGAUGUCGCUUAGAUAUUUGGAAUAUGGUAUCGUAUAGUUUAUACGCUUUAAAAAUUUACAACUGUGUAACAAAAUACUUUACGUUGUAAGAGUUAUCUCCCCAAACACUGUUUUUCUUGUGGCCACUACUCCUUCGCAACCGUUAAAGAUUACGACAAAUUUAUUUUACCAAAUUGCUCGUUACAUCUUCAGGAUUAGGAUAUUCAUUUGGACCGAAGCUUUACGGAGACUCCAUAUGAGAGUUAUUCCCCUUUUCCCUUAAAUUAAGUGAUAUGCAUUUCUAAAUGGUAAACCAUAAGUGAUAAAGACAUAGGGUCUUUAGAUUUGGGGUCCUUGGUCCAAAAUAAUAAAAAUGAGGUCAAGGUCAAAGGUCAAGGUCAUAUUCUAAAUAUUUUGAUUUUGGCUUAUUUUCAUUUAUUUUCAAAUACCUUAUGACAUAUCGACAAAUAAUUUUUCAUAAAUUGUUAGUUGCGACAUGUCCUUACUUGUAUAUUUUGAUUGAAAGGGUGCGCAGGCAAUAAAUAGGAGUUUUUGCCCAUCUUACAUUUAGAAUUACACGUAAAGUGAUAUUACUAAUAAACCAAACAUAUUAAAGACCUUGGGUCUUUUGAUUUAAGGUCCUUGGUUUGUGAACUUGAAAUUGAGGUCAAGGUCAUAGGUCAAUAUGACGUUCUAGAUUUUGACCUUUGCUUUAAAUUCAUAUAAAUACAUCAUACAGCCAUAGGAACUAACAUUUUAAACUGAUUUUUAAUAUUUCAAUAUCAAAAUAGAUCUUUUCUAGUGGAAAGACCUACAAUUGUUCUCUGAACAAUUGGUUUUUAAUUAUUAUUAUUAUUUUUUUUUUUUUUCUUCCGCCUAAUUUUUUUUCUUGCGUAUUAUUGAUGUUUCAAAAGAUGUCGCUUAGAUAUUUGGAAUAUGGUAUCGUAUAGUUUAUACGCUUUAAAACUUUACAACUGUGUAACAAAAUACUUUACGUUGUAAGAGUUAUCUCCCCAAACACUGUUUUUCUUGUGGCCACUACUCCUUCGCAACCGUUAAAGAUUACGACAAAUUUAUUUUACCAAAUUGCUCGUUACAUCUUCAGGAUUAGGAUAUUCAUUUGGACCGAAGCUUUACGGAGACUCCAUAUGAGAGUUAUUCCCCCUUUUCCAUUUAAUUAAGUGAUAUGCAUUUCUAAAUGGUAAACCAUAAGUGAUAAAGACAUAGGGUCUUUAGAUUUGGGGUCCUUGGUCGAAAAUAAUAAAAAUGAGGUCAAGGUCAAAGGUCAAGGUCAUAUUCUAAAUUUUGAUUUUGGCUUAUUUUCAUUUAUUUUCAAAUACCUUAUGACAUAUCGACAAAUAAUUUUUCAUAAAUUGUUAGUUGCGACAUGUCCUUACUUGUAUAUUUUGAUUGAAAGGGUGCGCAGACAAUAAAUGGGAGUUUUUGCCCAUCUUACAUUUAGAAUUACGCGUAAAGUGAUAUUACUAAUAAACCAAACAUAUUAAAGACCUUGGGUCUUUUGAUUUAAGGUCCUUGGUUUGUGAACUUGAAAUUGAGGUCAAGGUCAUAGGUUGAUAUGACGUUCUAGAUUUUGACCUUUGCUUUAAAUUCAUAUAAAUACAUCAUAAAGCCAUAGGAACUAACAUUUUAAACUGAUUUUUAAUAUUUCAAUAUCAAAAUAGAUCUUUUACUAGUGGAAAGACCUACAAUUGUUCUCUGAACAAUUGGUUUUUAAUUAUUAUUAUUUUUUUUUUUUUUUUUUCUUCCGCCUAAUUUUUUUUCUUGCGUAUUAUUGAUGUUUCAAAAGAUGUCGCUUAGAUAUUUGGAAUAUGGUAUCGUAUAGUUUAUACGCUUUAAAACUUUACAACUGUGUAACAAAAUACUUUACGUUGUAAGAGUUAUCUCCCCAAACACUGUCUUUCUUGUGGCCACUACUCCUUCGCAACCGUUAAAGAUUACGACAAAUUUAUUUUACCAAAUUGCUCGUUACAUCUUCAGGAUUAGGAUAUUCAUUUGGACCGAAGCUUUACGGAGACUCCAUAUGAGAGUUAUUCCCCCUUUUCCAUUUAAUUAAGUGAUAUGCAUUUCUAAAUGGUAAACCAUAAGUGAUAAAGACAUAGGGUCUUUAGAUUUGGGGUCCUUGGUCGAAAAUAAUAAAAAUGAGGUCAAGGUCAAAGGUCAAGGUCAUAUUCUAAAUUUUGAUUUUGGCUUAUUUUCAUUUAUUUUCAAAUACCUUAUGACAUAUCGACAAAUAAUUUUUCAUAAAUUGUUAGUUGCGACAUGUCCUUACUUGUAUAUUUUGAUUGAAAGGGUGCGCAGACAAUAAAUGGGAGUUUUUGCCCAUCUUACAUUUAGAAUUACGCGUAAAGUGAUAUUACUAAU
rnacentral:lncRNA from 1 species